rnacentral:rRNA from 1 species
GACGAACGCUGGCGGCGUGCUUAACACAUGCAGGUCGAACGCUGAAGCCCUUUCGGGGGUGGAUGAGUGGCGAACGGGUGAGUAACACGUGGGUAAUCUGCCCUGCACUCUGGGAUAAGCCUUGGAAACGGGGUCUAAUACCGGAUAGGACACAUCGCCGCAUGGUGUGUGUGUGGAAAGUUCCGGCGGUGCAGGUUGAGCCCGCGGCCUAUCAGCUUGUUGGUGGGGUGGUGGCCUACCAAGGCGACGACGGGUAGCCGGCCUGAGAGGGGGACCGGCCACAAUGGGACUGAGAGACGGCCCAGACUCCGACGGGAGGCAGCAGUGGGGAGUCUGGCGCAAUGGGCGAAAGCCUGACGCAGCAACGCCGCGUGGGGGAUGACGGCCUUCGGGUUGUAAACCUCUUUCGACCGGGACGAAGGGUGACUGACGGUACCGGUAGAAGAAGCACCGGCUAACUACGUGCCAGCCGCCGCCGUAA